UACGUAGGGUGCAAGCGUUGUUCGGAAUUACUGGGCGUAAAGGGCGCGUAGGCGGCCAGCACAAGUCAGUUGUGAAAUCUCCGGGCUUAACCCGGAAAGGUCAACUGAUACUGUGCGGCUAGAGUGCAGAAGGGGCAACUGGAAUUCUCGGUGUAGCGGUGAAAUGCGUAGAUAUCGAGAGGAACACCUGCGGCGAAGGCGGGUUGCCGGGCUGACACUGACGCUGAUGCGCGAAAGCCAGGGGAGCGAACGGG
rnacentral:rRNA from 1 species